GUCCAAAUCUUGAGAAGAAACCUUAAAAAUGAGACUAUUCCUACUAACACCAACUCCAACCUAACUGACUUUGGAUACAUGGUUACAGAAGAAUUACAAUGUCAAGGUUCAACAUGUCUACCAGGAGGGAAAAUGAUGGAUUAGCUGAUCUUAUCUGGGAACUGAAUAAUCGCCUACUUGCUCUUUCAUUCCACAUCAGGGAGUAUUGUUGGAUUGAUUUGCGAAAACUAAAUGAGAUUUAUUGUUACAAGACUGAAAAUACUCAUAUGAUACGAUUAAUAAGUUCAACAUUUACCUAGAUCAAAUAUCUCCUUGGUAGGUGGAAUGGAUGCCUAAUAAAGGAGGUUAUCUAAUCAAAAACUUACAUCCAACACAUAUGGAUUUUUGAAUUUUUUCUCUAGGAAACAUGUGGUAUGUUGUAAGAAGUCUAGCAACAGCUGAUCAGUCACAUGCCAUACUGGAUCUUUUUAAAGCAAAA